AGCGAACGCUGGCGGCAGGCUUAACACAUGCAAGUCGAGCGGGCACCUUCGGGUGUCCGCGGCAGACGGGUGAGUAACCCGUGGGAACGUACCCUUCGGUUCGGAAUAACGCUGGGAAACUAGCGCUAAUACCGGAUACGCCCUUAUGGGGAAAGGUUUACUGCCGAAGGAUCGGCCCGCGUCUGAUUAGCUAGUUGGUGGGGUAACGGCCUACCAAGGCGACGAUCAGUAGCUGGUCUGAGAGGAUGAUCAGCCACACUGGGACUGAGACACGGCCCAGACUCCUACGGGAGGCAGCAGUGGGGAAUAUUGGACAAUGGGCGCAAGCCUGAUCCAGCCAUGCCGCGUGAGUGAUGAAGGCCUUAGGGUUGUAAAGCUCUUUUGUCCGGGACGAUAAUGACGGUACCGGAAGAAUAAGCCCCGGCUAACUUCGUG
rnacentral:rRNA from 1 species